rnacentral:rRNA from 1 species
UACGUAGGGUGCGAGCGUUAAUCGGAAUUACUGGGCGUAAAGCGUGCGCAGGCGGUGAUGUAAGACAGAUGUGAAAUCCCCGGGCUCAACCUGGGACCUGCAUUUGUGACUGCAUCGCUAGAGUACGGUAGAGGGGGAUGGAAUUCCGCGUGUAGCAGUGAAAUGCGUAGAUAUGCGGAGGAACACCGAUGGCGAAGGCAAUCCCCUGGACCUGUACUGACGCUCAUGCACGAAAGCGUGGGGAGCAAAC